rnacentral:rRNA from 1 species
GACGAACGCUGGCGGCGUGCCUAAUACAUGCAAGUAGAACGCAGUUGCGCACGGGUGAGUAACGCGUAGGUAACUGCCUCAUAGCGGGGGAUAACUAUUGGAAACGAUAGCUAAUACCGCAUACUGUGAGAUGGACCUGCGUUGUAUUAGCUAGUUGGUGGGGGUAAGGGUCACCAAGGCGACGAUACAUAGCCGACCUGGGAGGGUUGUCGGCCACACCUGGAAUGGAGCACGGCCCAGACUCCUUCGGGAAGCAGCAGUAGGGGAACUUCGGAAAUGGACGGAAGUCUGACUGAGCAAAGGCGCGUUGGUGAAGAAGGGUUUCGGGGCGUAAAGCUCUGUUGUUAGAGGAGCGGUAACUACCCAGAAAGGGACGGCUAACUACGUGCCAGCAGCCGCGGUAAUUC